AUUCACCUAACAUUAACCCUAGUAAUCAACACCCUAUUAGCCCUGUUACUAAUAAUUAUUACAUUUUGGCUCCCACAACUUAAUAUAUAUAUGGAAAAAUCUAGCCCUUAUGAAUGCAGAUUUGACCCUCUAUCCUCUGCCCACAUUCCCUUCUCCAUAAAAUUCUUUCUAGUAGCCAUCACAUUUCCCCUAUUUGAGUUAGAACUCGCCCUACUACUACCCUUACUGUGAGCCCUUCAAACA
rnacentral:lncRNA from 1 species